UCUUGCACUUGCAGCAGUCGCGACUCAAGUGUGAAGUGAGUAGGCGGCAGGAGUUGCAGGUGAAGCGACCGUCUUCUUCUUCUUCGAGACAGGAAGCGUAUACCGGUAGUCAGAGUACAGAGUGAUAACGGCGGUGCGGCCCGCUCUUGAGGAUCAUACUGCGACACCUGCUUGCCUCAUGGGGUGCCAGCGAGGCGCCUCUCAGCCCCAACGGCAGUGCAAGACGAGUGUUGACGGCUUUCCGAGUGUUAGUGGUGGCCAGUGUUGAUAUGGCGUGGUGUUCGGGAGGACAGGUUUCGUGUUGCUCCAAGACGGAACAAACAGGAGCAAGGAUCCGCCGCUACGGCUAGGAAGCGCGACCCAUGUGUGACAGUGACGCUCAAGGAUACUGUUGUUCUUCGACUCGUAUCGUAACACUUGGACUAUGAUGGACUUGGUGACAGUGCACGAUACAUCACGUCGCCGGUUUUGACGCCGGCGACGCUUCCGUUACUCUCCCGUGGUCGUCGUCUGCGUUGGUUCUUUUCAGUAGACGACGGCGUCCUGCCUGCUUCACUCUGGAUACUGGCUCAGGUCGAGCUGCUGGAGCCGACAUUAGUUGCUACGACGACGACACCGAAGAAGAUUUACGACCCCCAAUCAGCUCACGGUCCACGCGGAGUGUACCAUCAGACCAUAAGUUGCUCGGAGGUCUGGUCCCACAACAGAAGCUCCAGGCUGGGCUAUGGGAAACUGAAAGCCGCCGUAGACACAGCACACGAGAACAAGAGCGGGGUGGUCAAGAGGGGAGUCACACCGGCGGGGGAGGGGAGGACUAUCCUCCUUCAGCCUGCCACUGGCUACGUCACCGCCCCUACCACAAGCCAAGGGGAGAGAACCCUCGGCCAAUAAGAGAAGGCCUUUCUUAUGAUGUCAUCAGAAGAGGAAGCCGAAUGUUUCGGGUUGUAUGGAGAUAAACUGUUGAAGAAGGCAAAACGAACGAGGCAGCGUGUGGACGCAGGCGAGCCAAGGAACAGCUACUCGUCGAUUCCUAACUUCAGUUCGCGACCGUCUUUCCUCAGCGGCGGGUUGUACGGUGCCAUCUUCAGCCAAAGCCAUCAGCACUUCGGUCUGUUCGGGCCGGGCUUCGGGCCCGCCAAGAUGCUCAACGAGCUACUAGGCCGCCAGGCG